AUUGAACGCUGGCGGCAUGCCUUACACAUGCAAGUCGAACGGUAACAGGUCUUCGGAUGCUGACGAGUGGCGAACGGGUGAGUAAUACAUCGGAACGUGCCUAGUAGUGGGGGAUAACUACUCGAAAGAGCGGCUAAUACCGCAUGAGAUCUACGGAUGAAAGCAGGGGAUCGCAAGACCUUGUGCUACUAGAGCGGCCGAUGGCAGAUUAGGUAGUUGGUGGGAUAAAAGCUUACCAAGCCGACGAUCUGUAGCUGGUCUGAGAGGACGAUCUGCCACACUGGGACUGAGACACGGCCCAGACUCCUACGGGAGGCAGCAGUGGGGAAUUUUGGACAAUGGGCGCAAGCCUGAUCCAGCAAUGCCGCGUGCAGGAUGAAGGCCUUCGGGUUGUAAACUGCUUUUGUACGGAACGAAAAGCCCUGGGUUAAUACCCUGGGGUCAUGACGGUACCGUAAGAAUAAGCACCGGCUAACUACGUGCCAGCAGCCGCCGUAAGAC
rnacentral:rRNA from 1 species